GGGGAUGUAAAGGUUUCGACGGGGACAGCAAACCUUGGUAAGCGAGUAGCGGUGAGGACCGCUUUAAUCACCUCAACUUAAAAAUAAACGACAAAAAUAAAGUUGCUUUAGCUGCUUAAUGCAGCUCGCUUGCCCGAGAGUACCGCGGCUCGGGAAUAAGCGUCGACAGCGGUUACUGUGAACAGCCACACGCCUUUAAGCUGUCAUACAUCAAAGGCUACCAAAACGCGUAACCUGUUAUUGGGUGCCGCGCAGAGGGAAUGUUAAAACAAUAACUGCACUCGGAGAAAACCUUGGCGCACUGUUUUCGGACGCGAGUUCGACUCUCGCCAUCUCCACCA
rnacentral:tmRNA from 1 species